rnacentral:rRNA from 1 species
GACGAACGCUGGCGGCGUGCCUAAUACAUGCAAGUCGAGCGAACAGACGAGGAGCUUGCUCCUCUGACGUUAGCGGCGGACGGGUGAGUAACACGUGGAUAACCUACCUAUAAGACUGGGAUAACUUCGGGAAACCGGAGCUAAUACCGGAUAAUAUAUUGAACCGCAUGGUUCAAUAGUGAAAGACGGUUUUGCUGUCACUUAUAGAUGGAUCCGCGCCGCAUUAGCUAGUUGGUAAGGUAACGGCUUACCAAGGCAACGAUGCGUAGCCGACCUGAGAGGGUGAUCGGCCACACUGGAACUGAGACACGGUCCAGACUCCUACGGGAGGCAGCAGUAGGGAAUCUUCCGCAAAGGGCGAAAGCCUGACGGAGCAACGCCGCGUGAGUGAUGAAGGUCUUCGGAUCGUAAAACUCUGUUAUUAGGGAAGAACAAAUGUGUAAGUAACUAUGCACGUCUUGACGGUACCUAAUCAGAAAGCCACGGCUAACUACGUG